GCCAGGCAAGUGGCAUGUGCCUGUAGUUCCAGAUACUUGGGAGGCUGAGGCAGGAGAAUCACUUAAGCCCAGAAGUUCUGGGCUCUAGCGCACAAUGCAGAUCGGGUGCGUGUCUGCACUAAGUUUAGCAUCAGUAUGAUGACCUCCCGGGAGUGGGGCACCACCAGCUUAUCUAAGGAGGGAUGAACUGGCUCAGGUCAGAAACAGAGCAGGUCAAAACUUGCGUGCUGAUCAGUAGUGAGAUCACACCUGUGAAUAGCCACUGCACUCCAGCCUGGGCAGUAUAGCAAGACCCCAUCUCU
rnacentral:SRP_RNA from 1 species